UGAGAGAUUUUUUUUAGAGAUCCUCACUGUAUUUUUACGUAAUUUAUUUUUAUAAUGACAUGUGGUUUAUACUUUGUAUCUUUUAAUUUAUUUAUUCUUAAAACUUAUAUAGUGAAAAAAAUAAACUAAAAUAUUCUUUUCAUACUUCACUAGUAGCAAUAUACUUGAUAUCAUACAUAACAAAGUAUUCUUUUUAAAAAUAAAAUAAAAUAUAUGUUUAUCAUGUAUAACAAAAUAUACUGUACUAGUUGCAAUAUAUAAUUGCUUUUAUAGACAUGCAAGUAUACUAGUGUUUUUGAACCUUUUAAGGUUUACUAUUUUCAUAGAAACAUUUAUUUAUUAAUAUUUUCCUUUUUUGCUUAAAUUUUGUUAUGUGUUUUGGUCAAUAUUUUUAAAUUAUAUUUUGUUAAAUGUUUUUAAUAUUAAGCUAUUCUACAACAUGUAAUACAAAGUAAUAUUGCUAUGAAAUAAGCUUUAUACUGAAUUAGGGGGUGUACGCGCUUCGCUCGGAAUAUUGUUUUAUUGUUUUUAAAUAUGAUUUUUUGGAUUAUGUGAUUAUGUGGAUGAUGUGAUUAUUUGUGAAGAGCAUUAUUUUGUGUUUUAUUAUGUUAUGUAGUAGUAGAUAAUAAGUUAAUAUAUUAUGUGUAUGUCUUUUUAAUAAUGUGUUGUUGUGUGUAUAAUAUUACUUAUUAGAGGUGAAGUGAACUUCUGAUGUAAAACAUAUUGAAUUUC
rnacentral:lncRNA from 1 species